rnacentral:rRNA from 1 species
AACGCGAAGAACCUUACCUACUCUUGACAUCCAGAGAACUUAGCAGAGAUGCUUUGGUGCCUUCGGGAACUCUGAGACAGGUGCUGCAUGGCUGUCGUCAGCUCGUGUUGUGAAAUGUUGGGUUAAGUCCCGCAACGAGCGCAACCCUUAUCCUUUGUUGCCAGCGAUUCGGUCGGGAACUCAAAGGAGACUGCCGGUGAUAAACCGGAGGAAGGUGGGGAUGACGUCAAGUCAUCAUGGCCCUUACGAGUAGGGCUACACACGUGCUACAAUGGCGUAUACAAAGAGAAGCGACCUCGCGAGAGCAAGCGGAACUCAUAAAGUAUGUCGUAGUCCGGAUUGGAGUCU